GAACUUGUGUUUUCCUAUUCUUUCGUUUCAAUAACCCUCUCCCUAAACCUCAUUACAUCCAAUAAAAGUCCUCUUGAUUUAAGUUUUGCAAUUAUGAUUGUGGAGAAGAGAUCUUUAUGCAAGCUUAUGGUAGAAAUUUCACAUUUGAUUCUUUGAGCGAAACACAUUUAAAACUAAACACAUGUGUGAUUGAGUGCAUAUCCCGUGAGAAGGUCGCUAGUUUGCAUAUGAUGAUUUUAAAAAUAAAAAACUUGAAAUUGCAUUAGCAUGGCUAUCUCACACACUACACUUCAAGGAUGAUUCAAAGAUUACUGCUAAUAUUUGAAUAAGGAAGAUGAACUUGGAUUAGUUCCUUUGAUGCUAGC
rnacentral:lncRNA from 1 species